AGUGAACGCUGGCGGUAGGCCUAACACAUGCAAGUCGAACGGCAGCACAGUAAGAGCUUGCUCUUACGGGUGGCGAGUGGCGGACGGGUGAGGAAUACAUCGGAAUCUACUUUUUCGUGGGGGAUAACGUAGGGAAACUUACGCUAAUACCGCAUACGACCUACGGGUGAAAGCAGGGGAUCUUCGGACCUUGCGCGAUUGAAUGAGCCGAUGUCGGAUUAGCUAGUUGGCGGGGUAAAGGCCCACCAAGGCGACGAUCCGUAGCUGGUCUGAGAGGAUGAUCAGCCACACUGGAACUGAGACACGGUCCAGACUCCUACGGGAGGCAGCAGUGGGGAAUAUUGGACAAUGGGCGAGAGCCUGAUCCAGCCAUACCGCGUGGGUGAAGAAGGCCUUCGGGUUGUAAAGCCCUUUUGUUGGGAAAGAAAAGCAGCAGGUUAAUACCCCGCUGUUCUGACGGUACCCAAAGAAUAAGCACCGGCUAACUUCGUG
rnacentral:rRNA from 1 species